rnacentral:snRNA from 1 species
AUACUUAGCUGGCAUGGGACAUACCAUGAUCACAAAGCUGGUUUUCUCAGGGUGAGGCCUCUGGAUGUGCUGACCCCUGCUAUUUCCCCUAAUGUGGCAAAGUCGACUGCAUAAUUUGUGGCAGUGGGGAGUUGUGUUCCCACUCUGCCCUG